AUCAGUAAACCCCAAAAAUAAUACCAUAAAGCAUUCAUAAAAUUGUUUUUCAAAGCAUAGAUUGGUGUGUAGAAAUACUAGUGACCAUUAAUGUUGAAUUCAUCUAAUCAUCAUCCAUUAGCCAAGAUAAUAUCCAUCACCCAUGACAUCAUCCAUGUAACCUUUCACACAUACAUACACACACGUACAACAAUUUAGAUGGAUAUGUAUAAACAGAUGCGUACACGCAAGUCUAUAUGUAUGUAUGAAUAUGUUUUGGAUGGUAAAACGAUGAAAUCAUAAAGCAUAAGUUCUUGAGGUUGGAGAGUCGGCAAUCCGAAGAGUUUGUUGGAUAAUUUUGUGUGCCUUUCUGCUUCUUAACUCAAAUCUCAUACUGUCCGUCUUCUCUAUCUUCUCAUACGAUGAUGAUGAUGAUGACGAUGAUGAUGAUGAUGAUAAUGAGGAUCUCUUCCUCAUCCUUAGACUUGCCUUUAUCUUGGACUUCAAGCCUUCUACAAUCUUCCCAAAUCUCAUCCUCACCAGAAUCUGACUUCUAUAGAAAAGUAAA